AAGAAUCCCCAGGCAAAAGCACGCCACAACUGUCCUGAACAGGUAGCCUCAUAGUCUUGAGCUGAGUCACACUUCCCGUACCUGUGCCCACUCUAUCCGACCCCCCGCGGCCUAGCUAAACCAAGAAUCCGAAAUUAAACUCCGAAACGUUCCUUCCCGGGAGACUAAACUCUCUCCCACCCCUCCCCCUCACAGAUCCUUCCCUCCCCGAAACUGGGGCUGGGGGCGGGAAGGGGAGUCGCCUCAGAAAAGCGCAUCUUGAUUUUGGCCGCUGCGGUCUCCCGUGAGGACCCCGGCACUCGGAACUGAGCCGGGAUCUAGGCCCAGGGGAGUCACAGGCCCCGUCCUCACAGCCCCCCCAAAAACCGGCCCCAGGUGAGAAGACGGAAGAUCGCUUACUAGUGGGAGCUCUGCCAAAAGUUCCCUGCCAUGGAACACAGCUUGCCCUGAUAAAAAAGCACCAGCCGGCGGAGCGGCCCGCGGAGCGACCAUAGACCCAGCCCGUCCGGUAACCGCGCUCCUCGAUCAAAUCAGCUCGGCUCGACUCCGCUCCGCGGCGGCGACGGCGAAAGGAAGAGGAUGGCCCCCUAGUCUCCUUCACGCCGGCCGACAACACUCAACUGUGCAAACCCGUUCCUAUCGACAAAAGUUCCGGCCCGCGGUAGCGGAGGGAGCUGGCGGGGAGGUGUUGACCCUUGGAGGUGCUGAGAUAGAAGAGAACUAGUGCUCACGAGAGCUCGCGGCGGUUGGAAGGCUCUCGCGAGAGCGUCUCGCCAAUUCUGGCCUGGGGCCCACGCCGCUCGGUCUCAAGUCCUCAGCACGGGAGUUGCUGAGUGGGUCUAACCUAGGCGAAGUGGCUCAGAUACGGGGUUCUGUUAUUACCUCUUCCAGGACUUCAAAAACAGAACAAUGGCAUUGUAAUAAAGUAAAAGAUUUUGUGACUUAUUUUUCCUGUGAUUGGAAAGAGAAAUAAAUGAAGAUGACUUUGUUCUCAGGGA
rnacentral:antisense_RNA from 1 species